AAAAGAAUCUUAUUUUUUAAAAAGAAGUGUGAUUUAUUUAAUAAAAAAUUAUUAAAUCUUGUUUAAAAGUAUUAAAAAGAAAUUUAAGAAAAAAUUAUAGUUUAUAAGUACUGAAAAGGAAAGUUAUAUUUAAAGAAUAGCAGGGUUUGAUUUCUGUACCUUUUGUAUCAGGUGUAAACAAAAUUAACAUUAAAGUUAGAGGUAUCUCGAAACGAGAAGAGCUAGUAGAAUUAAUAUUUCUUUGUUUCAAAAAGGUUUGGAAAUUCAUACUAGUAAUGAUAUGUUAGUCGAUUUUUGUAUAUCUAGUUUUCUAUUAAAAAAAUUUAAUUUUGCUUUUUUUUAAAAUUAAAUUAAAGAGAUAAAGUAGGAGGUAAGAGCUUCUUGCUUUUUUUCAAGAAUGGUUGUAAUAUAGUUGUUAAGUGGGCUUAAAAUCAGUCAUCUUAUUAUAACGUUAAAGUAAAACUAUCUUAAAUUUUAAUUUUUAUCUUUCUGUCAUUUUUAAUUGAAAAUAUCAUUAAAUAUGAUCUUGUUAGUUAAUAUGUUUAUAUAAGUAUAAUUAAAGUUAAAGAAAAAAUUAAAUUUUAGUUAAUUUUUAAGGUAUUUUGGUUGUUUAAAAGGAAUUCGGCAAAUAAUAUCUUCACCUGUUUAUCAAAAACAUGUCUAUAUGAGUAUAAAAUAUAAAGUCUAGCCUGCCCACUGAGUAUUUAAAGGGCUGCGGUAAUUUGACCGUGCAAAGGUAGCAUAAUCAGUAGUCUUUUAAUUGAAGGCUUGAAUGAACGGUUGGAUGAGAGAGAAGCUGUCUCUUUUAUAAGUUAAAAUUUGACUUUUAAGUGAAAAGGCUUAAAUUGUAUAAAGGGACGAUAAGACCCUAUAAAACUUUAUAAGAGAUUUAUUUUAUUUUUAAAUUCUUCUUUAAAAAUUGUGAAGUAUUUCUCUUAUUUUGUUGGGGCGACAUUGAUAUAAGCUGUAACUGUUUAAAUAAAAACUAUAAUUAUCAUUAUUGUUUGAUCCUUCUUUGUGGAUAAAAAGACUAAGUUACUUUAGGGAUAACAGCGUAAUUUUUUUUGAGAGUUCUUAUCGAAGAAAAUAGUUGCGACCUCGAUGUUGAAUUAAAAUUUCAGGCAAGUGUAGCCGCUUGUUAUGUGGGUCUGUUCGACCUUUAAAAUUUUACAUGAUUUGAGUUCAAACCGGUGUAAGCCAGGUUGGUUUCUAUCUUUUGUGAAGUUAUCAGAAGCUUUAGUACGAGAGGAUUGAGUUUCUAAGAGUUUCUUAUAUUAGGAUUAAAUAUAAU
rnacentral:rRNA from 1 species